UGUCUGUGAUGAAAGAUUCUGCCAAAUGAUCUGUGAUUAUAACAUUACCGUUCCAUAUUUCUGAGACA